rnacentral:lncRNA from 1 species
AUGUUGUGGUGACCCACCAACCCUAAAAUUAUUUUCAUUGCUACUUUAUAACUGUAGUUUUUGCUACUGUUAUGAAUUGUAAUAUGAGUAUCUGUAUUUUCUGACGGUCUUGGGUGACGCUUCAGAGCCUGUUGCCAGCCAUCAUUCAGGAGGCUUGGGUGUCACAUAAGACACAGUGUCGCUGAGUUUAGAGCCCACCCAAAUGAUCCAGAGUUUUCUCAUCUUAAGAUCUUCAAGACUGCACGUGCAAAGUGUCUUUUCCAAACUAGGCCAUAUGCAUGGGUUCUUGGGGCUUGAAUUUGCCUUUGGAAGCCAUUUUUCAGCUGCUACCCUUUUUAUUGUGUAUUUAAAUUGUCCAAGUAGAACAAGUUAUAAACUUGCUUAUAAGAGACCAUCUUGUCCCAACCUCUUCUUGCCCUUCGAGCAUGGCUCAAUUUACAUUACAGAGUGUAGGUUUUUCUUGUUAAUUCAUUUCCUCUACUUCAUUAUAUAGCUUCAUUAGGAGCAUCAUGCUUAUAAUUUUCAUAUCACUAAAACUAUUGUGGUGUAAUGUCCCUAUAAUGGGAAAACAGAAAUGAUCAGAUAUUAUCUAAAUUGGCAGAUACUAGAUUUCUUGUGACUUUGUUAAUAUGUAAUUCAUUUAAGCAAACUUAAUAUCCAUUAACGUUCCUUGUAGGGGCCCAUUAGCUUUAAUAAUACAUUAGCUCCUUUGUGAGUCCUGAGUGGAUAUCCACCCAGUUUCCACCCCUAAACCCUUUAAGUAGUUUCCCGGAGUAUCUUUUAAAUAGAGAAUAGCCCCUCCCACCUACAAAAUUGCAUUCACUGCCAAAUACAGAAUAUUUCAAGCCGUCUGCCUCCUACCCUGGAAAAUGUGGUAAUGAUUCCUAGCCUUGUUUUCAUUUUCUGUAGACUCAAAAGGGAUUUGUCCUUCAAGGAAAAUGAAUACAGGUCUGUAUCUGAAUCCAUUUGGCUCCAAUCUAACAAAAUGCUGUGGGCUCCUCUCUUCAGGAGAGGCACUGGAACACCUUCCAAAGAUGAGACUGCAGCUACUGAUCAUUUCAUCACGACAGCCUUUCCCUCAACUAAAAUUAUAUAAACAUUACGUUCUUGAUGCUUUUAAUAGAUAGAGAGAGAGAGAGAGAUGAAAAACAUCUUGUAUAAAGGAAGGUUAUACAUUGCAGCACUUUAUAUAAUUCAGAAAGGGAAUUGGGGGGGGGGUCUAGUUUUCUAUCUUAAUUAAGACUCUUGGAACUUAAGAAAGUCACCUGGCCCUUCAGUCUAUGAAUAUCAUUCUAUUCCCAGAUCUGUGUUGUGCUUGUGGAAUCAGCCAGCAAGUCUUCGUUCCCAACCAACAUGAGUCUCCUUGAACACUAUUAGCCCUUCCCUAUCAGAGGCCUCCUGCCCCCAAGGCUCCGGUGCCUUAGGCCCCAAGUCCGCUCUCAGUGAGUGGUGGGAGCUUAGCUCCAGUCCCUCACAGCGGUUCUUUCUCUACAGCCAGGCAUCGCUGUCUAAGGGAAAGGAUAGGAUCCUUCAUCUGUGUAGACACUGAGUUACUGAGAUACCCAGAAGGAAUAACAGUGCACUUCUCCCCUCCUCCCCUUUAAGUUGACUCAAGUCCCUGAAGUUAUCACCUUUAUAGGGUCACUAAUCCCUAAAACCUCCUUUAAUAUCAGUACACUGUGGGGUGGAGAGGGGUGAAUUAAAUCAAUCACCACAUUUUGCUUGCAAUAUAAGGAUUUCAUCUGCCCAAUAGAGUUCUGCUAAUUUCUUCAAUCACUGAUAAGACCUAUUUUCCUUAGGCCACGUUAUUGUUUGAACCUGACUAUGAUCUGUAUGUUAAAAGCCAUAAAAUUAUGUAUUUUAUUAUGUGAUUUAAUCUAAAAAAAAUUAAAUAUACCAUUGUUCUUUUU